rnacentral:snoRNA from 1 species
UGCAGCCUCCUUCUGGAAUUUACUGCCACAGGAGACCGUUAAGUCAAGGACUAUGUCCAGAUUUUUUCAGGAACUUGGAUAAAUUAAUGCUUAAUAACAAUA